AUGACAGACAAUACAUCAGCAGCUAGUUCAUCGGAAGGAGGACACGAAGAGCCACAGAUGGACCGACGACUCCUGAAAGCAGCCGCAUCUGGUGAUUCCACAUCAAUGGAGGAGAUGGCUUCGCAAGAUCAAAGCAUUCUUCUUGGAAAAACUCUGCAAGGGAACACCUGCCUCCACAUAUCCUCCAUCCAUGGUCACCAGGUGUUUUGCACGGAUGUGGUGGCACUGGAGGAAUCACUCCUUGCCACUGUAAAUUUGGAUGGGGAGACGCCUCUUCUCACUGCCAUUACACGUGGCUGGGUCUCAUUGACUUCUGUCUUACUCCGAUGCUACCGCUCACGGCGGUUGAGUGAGGCAAUCUUGCAACAAGACACGCAUGGAUGCAAUGCACUGCACCAUGCCAUUCGCAGCGGCCACAGGGAGCUUGCGCUGGAGUUGAUAGCAGCAGAGCCUGACCUGUCGAAGCAUGUGACCAAGUUCAAUGACUCACCCAUGUACAUCGCGGCAAAGAGAAAUUUUACAGAUGUUUUUGAGGAACUCUUGAAUGUUCCAGAUUCUAGUCAUGCGGGACGGUGUGACAACAAUGCUUUGCAUGCUGCAGCUACAAACGGGAAUGGAGACAUUGCUACAAAAAUUAUGAGGAUGCGACCUGAAAUGGCCAGAGCAGCUAACAAGUACGGCAAUACACCAGCAAGAUUGGUUGUCCUUUAUAACAAGGUUGACAUGCUACGAGUAUUGCUAGAACAUGAUUGUUCUUUAGGGUAUGAAAUGAGCACAAAAGGUUUUCCCCUGCUUCAUGCUGCCGCAUAUCGAGGUCAUAUUGAUGUUGCUGGAGAGAUUCUUAAACAUUGUCCUGAUGCUCCUUAUUGUCAAGUAGAUAACCAGGAUGGUUGGACACUCCUACAUACAACUAUAAUUAACAAUCAUGCAGAGUUCACCGAAUUUAUCCUGAGGACACCGCAGCUUCGCAAAGUCAUUAACAUGCAAGACAACCAAGGAAAAACCCCUCUACAUUAUGCAGUCCAAAGUUGCAAUCCUAAAAUAGUCGCUGCCUUACUGUCUCACGAGGAUAUAGAUGUAACAAUGAUCGACAACAAUGGUGAUCCAGCAACUUGGGAACUGUGGAAGGUCAUACAGAAUGCCAAAACUUUAAACUGGAAUGAAGUGUGCAUGCUUAUGCUAAAAGCGAAUCCUCAACAUACUGGAUCUAUUUAUAAUCUUCAUCGGAAAGCCAAGCAAGAGGCGACUAAUGCAUCAAGGAAGGAUGCAAAAUCACUAACUCAAAUAUACACAACCAACACUUCGUUAGUAGCAAUCCUCAUUACGACAAUCGCCUUUGCUGCCGCGUUCACCCUACCUGGAGGAUACAGCAAUGGCGCUGGAAGCGAAGGACUUCCCGUCAUGUCUCGCAAGGUUGCAUUUCAGGCAUUCUUGAUCUCUGACACCUUAGCAAUGUGCUCUUCAUUUGCUGUCGCCUUCAUAUGCAUCAUGGCAAGGUGGGAGGAUUACGAGUUCUUGGUUUACUAUAGAUCAUUUACUAAGAAGCUCAUGUGGUUUGCAUAUGUGGCAACUACCACAGCCUUUUCAACUGGUUUAUAUACGGUGUUGCCCCGACAUCUCCACUGGUUGGCCAUUGCAAUUUGCAUUACAGUAGCUUUGUUGCCCAUUCUCACGAAGCUGCUGGGCGAAUGGCCUGUCUUGAGUCUUAGAUUUCGGCUGGGAAAAACUUUCAACUCUGAUCUCCUUGACAUUGUGUGA
rnacentral:rRNA from 1 species